UACGAAGGGGGCUAGCGUUGUUCGGAAUUACUGGGCGUAAAGCGCACGUAGGCGGAUUGUUAAGUUAGGGGUGAAAGUCCCGGAGCUCAACUCCGGAACUGCCUUUCAUACUGGCAAUCUAGAGUCCGGAAGAGGUGAGUGGAACUCCUAGUGUAGAGGUGGAAUUCGUAGAUAUCAGGAGGAACACCUGUGGCGAAAGCGGCUCACUGGACCAUAACUGACGCUGAUGCACGAAAGCUAGGGGAGCAAACAGG
rnacentral:rRNA from 1 species